rnacentral:rRNA from 1 species
CCUACGGGGCGCAGCAGUGAGGAAUAUUGGUCAAUGGGCGCGAGCCUGAACCAGCCAAGUCGCGUGAGGGAAGACGGUCCUAUGGAUUGUAAACCUCUUUUGUCGGGGCGCAAAAGACGCCCCGCGUGGCGUUCCGAGAGUACCCGAAGAAAAAGCAUCGGCUAACUCCGUGCCAGCAGCCGCGGUAAUACGGAGGAUGCGAGGGUUAUCCGGAUUUAUGGGGUUAAAAGGGUGGGCAGGCGGAAGAUCAGGUCAGCGGUAAAAUCGGGAGGCUCAACCUCUUCGAGCCGUUGAAACUGGUUUUCUUGAGUGAGUGAGAAGUAUGCGGAAUGCGUGGUGUAGCGGUGAAAUGCAUAGAUAUCACGCAGAACUCCGAUUGCGAAGGCAGCAUACCGGCGCUCAACUGACGCUCAUGCACGAAAGUGUGGGUAUCGAACAGGAUUAGAUACCCUGGUAGUC